AUCUAUAGCAAACGCGCAUUCUUCAUUCAAGUCAAUCAAUAUUUUUUAUUGUUCUCAGUAAGAAAAUGCUCAAGAGGCAAUUCUGUAUGCUGAAAGCCCAGGGAAGGCUCCCACUGGACCUACCUCUGAGACCAAUGAAGGACUGGCUCCUGGCAGGGAAAAUAGUCUUCCUGGAGCGUGAGGCAGAGACAUGGAAGAGAUGGAGGAAGGUCUCUGUAGCUGAAUUGACUUGGGAUGCAAAGAGGGGCCUGGAAUUACAGGAAACAGAGACAGAGAUAGUUAUCCUGCUCAGUGGCCAGAGAGUUCAGGAUGAAUUAAGGAUACCAAAUGUCAUCGUGGA